CGAAGGUUCGCAGGACAGCAGUGCCGCGCGCCUGCAGUUCCGCCUUCCGGCAGUUCCGCGGACAGUCCCGCGGCUGAGUGCGCUCCGAGCUGGGACCUGCUGCCCACACAGGCCUGAAGGAGUUUCAGGCAGAGAGGGAACUCGAGUGCCUUGAAUGAAAAUGGCAGCGCUUCCAGGAUUGCUCCCAAGCCUAGGAUUCCUUCUCGGUGAUGCAGACGGAACAAGGAGCUGCCUGGGGAUGAAGCAGUUAUUCGAUAGAUUCCCAACAAACCUAUUACUGGCUCUGCUGGAUCUCCCCCUCUUUCAUCCCAGCCUCAGGAAAAUGACUUACUCCACUGGUCCUCACUGCUCACUUGUUAUUCCUUCUGCCAGAACUGCUUCCGCAGAUAUCUCCCUCCACCCGGCUAACUCCUACACACUCUUCAGGUCUCAGCACCAAUAGCUGUCUCAUCAGACUCCCUCUCAGAUUCAGUUAAGCCCUUUAUUUCAGGUUUCCCCAGCAACUGUACAAUUUAUCUUAUGAUUGAUUGAAGUUAUCUUAUAAUUUUACAAUUAAAAUGUACGAUUAUUUAUCUA